rnacentral:rRNA from 1 species
AACGAACGCUGGCGGCAUGCCUAACACAUGCAAGUCGAACGAGACCUUCGGGUCUAGUGGCGCACGGGUGCGUAACGCGUGGGAACCUGCCCUUAGGUUCGGAAUAACUCCCCGAAAGGGGUGCUAAUACCGGAUAAUGUCUUCGGACCAAAGAUUUAUCGCCUUUGGAUGGGCCCGCGUUGGGUUAGCUAGUUGGUAGGGUAAAAGCCUACCAAGGCGACGAUCCAUAGCUGGUCUGAGAGGAUGAUCAGCCACACUGGGACUGAGACACGGCCCAGACUCCUACGGGAGGCAGCAGUGGGGAAUAUUGGACAAUGGGCGAAAGCCUGAUCAAGCAAUGCCGCGUGAGUGAUGAAGGCCUUAGGGUUGUAAAGCUCUUUUACCCGGGAUGAUAAUGACAGUACCGGGAGAAUAAGCUCCGGCUAACUCCGUG